rnacentral:lncRNA from 1 species
AUGUGAGAGACUUGGAAUCUACAUCUUCAACUGAAUGGACUAUAUACAGUACGCAAGUCUGGAGACUAAAGGCAUGAUCUGGGUGUACGCUGCAGUGCCUUAGCUUUGAUACUAGCCCUCCUUUAUUUACCUUUGUGAUACACUGUUUUGGAAAUGGUUUACUACUGCUAAAUUGUCACAUAUUCCUAGA